rnacentral:tRNA from 1 species
ACCUGGGUGGCUCAGUUGGUUGAGCGUCUGACUUCGGCUCAGGUCAUGAUCGCUCAGUUUGUGGGUUUGAGCCCCGUGUCGGGUU